rnacentral:lncRNA from 1 species
UUUUUUUUUUUUGUUGUUGUUGUUUUUGUUUGUUUUUAAUGUAUGUGUAAUCCAAGGACAAUGAGACUUUACCAGACCAGGAGGUAAGAUGGACACUAAAGUUUAACCAUGCUCCUUCUCUUGCAGCUUGGAAAGCUCUGUGGGCUCAUGCUGAGGGCUCACGGCACCCUGGGACCGCUCUGGACAAUUCAGGGCCUGGUUCCCCCAGCCCUGUGUGCACUGCAUUGGUGACACACCUUGAGGAAGGGAUGGGUAUUCACAGAACACUUGGGUUAACCCUGUAGGAUAAACACAACUGGUUCUGUUAUUAACUGAUUCUGGGGAUGGAGGGAGUGGGUAGAGCAACAGCAACAGGUUUUUUCCCAACUUGCCCAUUCACAACAUUAUACUUCAGGCCAAGACACACGGGUCAUCAGACUGAACUGUGUGCAAUAGGAAAAGUCCAGAGAAACAGGAGGCGGCAAGGUCACGUGGCUGCAGGACCCAGCCCGCACCUUAGUUCCCAAUCUGGUCUGCAGUCCAUCGGAUCACGCUUUGGGCGCAGGCAGGUUACAGGGAAUGGGAGAGGAGAACACUUCCUCAGCACUUGGGUUUUGGAUUCAGGAGGCAGAAGGGAAUGGAGUGGGAGGGGGAAUUAGAGUUCAGGCCAACACCACGAUAGUCUGGUAGCAAAGAAAUGAAGUACAACAGGUUUUACUGUUGAGCUGCGUUCAGUCUCUACAGCACGUACAGAUGUUAGUCCUUGGAGGCCAACGUGACUCCUGAUCAGUGUGGUGGGGAACGGGGGCUGCCGCAAACAAGCACUUGCGAGCUCUGCACAGAUCCGUACUUCUUUAAAACAAAAUGAGAGGGAAUAUGAAGCCCCUGGUCUGAUAGAAAGCCCCACUGGAUUCUUUGGAUGCAUGUAGGAAGUUGCCUGUGUAGUCUAAAGACUGGUGGGAACACCUACAUCAGACCUUGUUGUGAGACAGGUGGAUUUUUUAUUUUAUUAUAUGCAGGUGAGUGUUGAAACUGUUAAAAUUCCAAUUUGUUUUCAUUCAGUGUUAGUUCUAAACAUAGCAAACCCCCUCCAGGUGCUAUCAGAUGACCAGUUACUGCUUAGUUAACUAGGUGUAAAGUCUGACAUAUACAUUAAUGUCAAUAGUUUAUUACACGUUGUGUAAAAUGGACUCUAGUUUAAUAACGGGGAGAAAGGAUUAGGUUGCUCCUGAAACUGACUGUAGAGCAUGUACAAUGAUUUUACUGGAUUCUGUUCAACUGUAAUCAAUGACAAGGAUGUAUGUUGUAGACAAAGUUGCAGAAUUAAAAAGAAGUCUGCUUUUAAUUUAUUCUUUUUGUAUUAAGAAUUUGUAUAGUACCUUUACAUUUUGCAAAACAGUGUUGUCAACACUUAUUAAAGCAUUUUCAAAAUGAAAAGAUCUCAGCUGCCUCUCGGAGAUUUUGUUUCUAAGUGAUAAUGCUCUGGGACUCUAAUUUGGGUGCCUGUGGCUUUGUGGAACUCUUUUUUUUUUUUUUUUUUUUUCUCACUCAGUCGUAAGCUGGUGUCCCUAUUGGCUUGCGAGAUACAGACGAGCUGUCUGUGGUCGAGGCUACUUCUCCCUUACUCUGAUGGCCUUGCUAAUGAUACGAGAUAAUACAUCCUCAAUCACGUAUUCCUGCCACAAAAAGGGAUCUGAGGUUAGAGGUCAGUCUCUGUCCAUUCCCAGUAGUUCGCCGUAUGCGGUUCAUGUCAGGCGUGGGUCCUGUGCCCACGGAACAGUACGUGGUGGAAGAAACCCUGAGGGAUCGUGGGCUUUGGAGGCCAUCCGUGGGCUCUGCACCCGGCAGGGACACGGCAGGAAGAGGAUGCUCUUCACCAGCGCCGCUCCUUGGCCUGCGCUCGGACCCAGGCACCCACCAUCUGCGUGGCAUCACCAGCGCAACAGCCUGCGGGGCCCGCGGGCACAGACAGCUCCCGAGGUCUGGAGGCCAAGAGCACCCCCUGCACGGAGAGCCCGAGCCAAAGCACCGGCCGUGCUGAGCGAGCCUAACCGCUGCCAAGGAUGAGACAGUCCAGAGAGCACAGAGCAGGCCAGGAGCGAGCCCGUAGGACACUGCGCUUCCGAAGCCUUUCGGGAAAGCAAGCCGUGGCUUGGUACCGCAAGGUAAUCAGCGCUCACGUCAGGCGGAGAUCUUCCGUAAGCUUUUACGUCUAAAUGUGUCACAGCUCCGGAAAUAAAUCCGGCGUCUCCUCCUGAAGCUCUGACUGUCCAGGGCUGGCACACGAAGACCUUUCUUUCCCUUGUCCCCACCUGGACGCCGCGCGCCGCCCUUACUCAGUGCUGACAGAGCGGUUCCACGAAGCAUUAAAAAUAGCCCUCGCCUCCUGCCGCGUCCUCCCAGGAUCCCAGGAUGCCAGAGCCGAGAGCUCGCACGCAAACUCCUCUCCGCGGCGCGGCGGGGACCACUGGCGGGGCUGAGGAGCGUCACCCACUGCGAGUCUGGGGAGGAGUCCGGGGUCUUCGAGAGCUCACGCUCACACAGGGGAGACCCAGGCACACAACUACCACGCGAGGGGAAACAAAGCUGCCAACGUUCAAGGCAAGGAGACGAUUCAGGUGCGUCCAAAGGGGAAGAGACCACCGCAUGUCGACGGCGUGUCACUGCCACCCGCGUCCAGGAGCCGGCUGGUGGCAGACGUGGCCGUGAAGAGGGAAAGAACCUGCUACGCCCUCUUCCCCUUGCACAGUACCCCCCCGACCCCCACAGCCGCCGUCCCUCCAAAGAGCAGGAGUCCACACAGUGCCAGGCCGACAGAGCCUGUGUGUUUACAGCUGCAUCAAGAUUUUUAUCAGAAGCCCAUUUCUGGGGACACCCGGGUGGCUCAGUGUGAGUGUCUGCCCCGGUUGUGAUCCUGGGGUCCUGGGAUCGAGUCCCUUAUCCCUGCUCUGAGGGGAGCCUACCUCUCUCCCUCUGUUUCUUAUGAAUAAAAUAUAAAAAAAAAUUUCUCUCCAGAAACUAUCCCUACACACAAGUAGGUUCCUUUUGUUUUUCAUUCAGUCAUGCGUUUUCUAGCAAACUCCAGCCACCCUUUCGUUCCCACGCUUUUCAAAACCACUGCUGUCAAGGUCAAGGGGAUGCCCAGGUAUGAUGGUUAACUCUG